UUCUUUUAAGUUACAGAGAAAAACAUUUGUUUGUUUUAUCCUAAAACAUCGAAUUUGUUUCUAUUUAUUUGUAUUAUUCGUUUAGUCUUGCCAGCUGUCUAAAAUUAUGUUUAAAACGCCUUAUUUCAAUAAAAAGUUCUUCUUCCGUGAGAAUUUCUACUUUCUUUUCAGGUGGUUUUGGCAAGCACAUUUCUUAUGCUUAGUUUUGGUUGAGGAACGACUCUAAUGCUUCAAACACAGUCGUUUUUCACUCGUGCUGGUACGACUUAUCAGAAGCUACCAGUUUGAGGUCGUAUUCGAGAUAAGAGAUUAUCUCGAAACCUGUGGGUCGAUUGUCCCCUGAAGCUAUUUGUAGACUGCCGCCGUGUAUUCCUCGAGUAGCUCGUAAGGGAUCGCCGCUCCUCCGUUCACCAGAUUUCCUAUGGUUUCGUGAUAAAGCUGAUCACUGUUGCACCCGCACACGGAGUGACUAGCUUUUUCUGUCCUACGUCAACUUCUUUGGUAGUGUGCGAUCGAUUUGCCCGUUAAGAAUUUUUGAUAUUAGAUGGGUCAGAAGAUCGCUGAAUACGUCAGAAGGGCCAAAACAGUACAAGAGAUCGUACCAGCACACAACAGCGUGAACAGGGUUAGUUAAUACCGCUUAGUUAUCCAGUGCCGGUAAGUUUUUUUUUUCUUACAAAUAAUUGCAUGUCAGUGUUGUGAGCUGUGUAAGAAACAUAUUUUGGUGCACCAUCGAUCAGUAAACAACCAAUGUAAAGCUACAAGUACAAAAGUCUACAGCGUAUUUUCGCACUAUGGCACUCCCAACCAGCGAUGUAUGGCUGCAUUACGUGAAAUCUGAAGGUGGAGGUAAAUGUCGUUACUGCCAACAGGUAGUGUCGUACACUAAGGGCUCAACAUCUAACUUGAAGCGGCAUCUCAGUCAUAAACAUCCUACUGUUCCGGUGCAUAGAAAUAACCCUCCAUCGACAACUGUGUAGGGAACUAUGUUAGGAAACUGCUCGACAGCAAGAUUAGGGAACUGCUCGAUAGCAGCAUUAGGAAACUGCUCGAUAGCAGCAUUAUAAUAUAAUCGCCCAACUCGUGGGCGUAAACAAGGCGCAUAAGAUACUUGUCCUUAUGCGCCUCGAUGUGACAAUAGCGAAUAAACGCUCUCUUGUAUCCUGAACCUCAACCGA